rnacentral:rRNA from 1 species
ACGAACGCUGGCGGCGUGCUUAACACAUGCAAGUCGAACGGAAAGGCCCUGCUUUUGUGGGGUGCUCGAGUGGCGAACGGGUGAGUAACACGUGAGUAACCUGCCCUUGACUUUGGGAUAACUUCAGGAAACUGGGGCUAAUACCGGAUAGGAGCUCCUGCUGCAUGGUGGGGGUUGGAAAGUUUCGGCGGUUGGGGAUGGACUCGCGGCUUAUCAGCUUGUUGGUGGGGUAGUGGCUUACCAAGGCUUUGACGGGUAGCCGGCCUGAGAGGGUGACCGGCCACAUUGGGACUGAGAUACGGCCCAGACUCCUACGGGAGGCAGCAGUGGGGAAUAUUGCACAAGGGGUGGAAGCCUGAUGCAGCAACGCCGUGGGCGGGAUGACGGCCUUCGGGUUGUAAACCGCUUUCGCUCAUGACGAAGCUUUGUGUGACGGUAGUGGGUAAAGAAGCACCGGCUAACUACGUG